UACGUAGGGUGCGAGCGUUAAUCGGAAUUACUGGGCGUAAAGCGUGCGCAGGCGGUUUUGUAAGUCUGUCGUGAAAUCCCCGGGCUCAACCUGGGAAUUGCGAUGGAGACUGCAAGGCUAGAAUCUGGCAGAGGGGGGUAGAAUUCCACGUGUAGCAGUGAAAUGCGUAGAGAUGUGGAGGAACACCGAUGGCGAAGGCAGCCCCCCUGGGUCAAGAUUGACGCUCAUGCACGAAAGCGUGGGGAGCAAACGAGG
rnacentral:rRNA from 1 species